rnacentral:rRNA from 1 species
GAUGAACGCUGGCGGCGUGCCUAAUACAUGCAAGUCGAGCGAACAGACGAGGAGCUUGCUCCUCUGACGUUAGCGGCGGACGGGUGAGUAACACGUGGAUAACCUACCUAUAAGACUGGGAUAACUUCGGGAAACCGGAGCUAAUACCGGAUAACAUGUUGAACCGCAUGGUUCAACAGUGAAAGACGGUCUUGCUGUCACUUAUAGAUGGAUCCGCGCCGCAUUAGCUAGUUGGUAAGGUAACGGCUUACCAAGGCAACGAUGCGUAGCCGACCUGAGAGGGUGAUCGGCCACACUGGAACUGAGACACGGUCCAAACUCCUACGGGAGGCAGCAGUAGGGAAUCUUCCGCAAUGGGCGAAAGCCUGACGGAGCAACGCCGCGUGAGUGAAGAAGGUCUUCGGAUCGUAAAACUCUGUUAUUAGGGAAGAACAAAUGUGUAAGUAACUAUGCACGUCUGGACGGUACCUAAUCAGAAAGCCACGGCUAACUACGU